CCUCGGUACCGGAAGCGGCUCCGAAACACCAUAAUUAGGAGACCCCAAAUUGAAACUAAGAUCCUUAAUAUCGUCUUCUUCGUUAUCAGAAGAAGGAGAUGAAGAACAAGAAGUAUUAGUAGACGAAAGUAACCGGUCAAGUGAGUCGUGAAAUCGCUCGUCCUCUUCUUCUUCGUCUCUGGUUUUGCUCAUCGUCUUACAGGCAUUCCCAUCUGGGAAAUGAAAAUGCCCCACAAUUACCCCCAGCUUAAUCCAACUGGGGGUGUCUCAAAUUCAAACGAAUACCGUAUUUUCUCUUUCACACAAGCAAUUAAUCAAACACUUGGUGUGCGUUAUGAAAAAAAUGAUGAGAUCGGACAAUAUUGAAAUGGUUUUUUCAGUUCUGUUCAGAUCUACAGAGAGUUAAAAGAAGCUACCAUUGAAGAAGGGGGAGAAAGAGGA
rnacentral:misc_RNA from 1 species